rnacentral:rRNA from 1 species
CCUACGGGCGGCAGCAGUGGGGAAUAUUGGACAAUGGGGGCAACCCUGAUCCAGCCAUGCCGCGUGUGUGAAGAAGGCCCUCGGGUUGUAAAGCACUUUCAGUGAGGAAGAACGCCUGGUGGUUAAUACCCAUCAGGAAAGACAUCACUCACAGAAGAAGCACCGGCUAACUCCGUGCCAGCAGCCGCGGUAAUACGGAGGGUGCGAGCGUUAAUCGGAAUUACUGGGCGUAAAGCGCGCGUAGGUGGCUUGAUAAGCCGGUUGUGAAAGCCCCGGGCUCAACCUGGGAACGGCAUCCGGAACUGUCAUGCUAGAGUGCAGGAGAGGAAGGUAGAAUUCCCGGUGUAGCGGUGAAAUGCGUAGAGAUCGGGAGGAAUACCAGUGGCGAAGGCGGCCUUCUGGACUGACACUGACACUGAGGUGCGAAAGCGUGGGUAGCAAACAGGAUUAGAUACCCGGGUAGUC